rnacentral:rRNA from 1 species
CCUACGGGAGGCUGCAGUGAGGAAUAUUGGACAAUGGACGGAAGUCUGAUCCAGCCAUGCCGCGUGAAGGAUGAAGGCGCUCAGCGUUGUAAACUUCUUUUGGAUGGGGACAAACCACUUCAUUUAUGGGGUGCUGAGGGUACCAUCAGAAUAAGCACCGGCUAACUCCGUGCCAGCAGCCGCGGUAAUACGGAGGGUGCAAGCGUUAUCCGGAAUCACUGGGUUUAAAGGGUGCGUAGGCGGUCUGAUAAGUCAGUUGUGAAAUUCCUCGGCUUAACCGAGUGGACUGCGAUUGAUACUGUUAGACUUGAAUCAGGUUGAGGUAGGCGGAAUGUGACAUGUAGCGGUGAAAUGCUUAGAUAUGUCAUAGAACACCGAUUGCGAAGGCAGCUUGCUGGGCUUCGAUUGACGCUGAGGCACGAAAGCGUGGGGAGCAAACAGGAUUAGAUACCCCGGUAGUC